CAGCUAUAUCACAUUGAAAUAUCAGUUCUAGUACAAUCACUGAAGCAAAGCAAUGUUGAGCCUGGUCAGUACCUAGAUGGGUGACCACUUGAGAAUACCAGGUGCUGUAA